UUAAGAAUUCAGUCCCAGCAGUUUUAGAACAAUUAUCUACAUCAUCACAACAUGGCUGUGAGGAAAAAAUGGGACUUAGGUGAGACCUAUCUACUCUCUCCAUCUUUCAGACCUCUCAGAUAGGACUACAGACACACUAUCCCAAAGAGUCCCUGAGAGCAGGUGAUCUGCUUCCCUACUCAUCACCUGGAAACAGAAACUGCAACAAGUGUAUUUCCCAAGGAGGACAGUAGGUGAAGAGGAAUAACCAGUCUCCACCACAGCAAGGGGAGGUAACCAGCAAAGAAGCACAGUGGCAAUGAGCUGGUAACGUGCUGACACCAAUGAAAGGAUCAACUUUGCUGAGGAGCCAGAAAUUAUUAAAUGCAGUUAGAAAACAACUGCUGAGAGCUGUGAAGAUUCCUUUGAUACCAACUGUCCAGGAAGCAAUGUUUAAAACCUCAAAAUUAGUAAAUGCAAAGUAAUUCAACAUUA